GCCUGGGUGGCUCAGUCGGUUGAGCGUCCGACUUCGGCUCAGGUCAUGAUCUCACAGUCCGUGGGUUCGAGCCCCGCGUCGGGCU
rfam:Felis catus isolate Cinnamon breed Abyssinian chromosome B2, whole genome shotgun sequence.